rnacentral:lncRNA from 1 species
AUGCGGCUCCUCCGCGCCCUUGCGCGCCCCCAGACCGCGGCCCCGCCUCUACUCGUAGCCGGAUCAGGCAGCUCUGGAGGCCGGCGGCCCGGGUACGGUAGGAUGGAGUACCCUCCAUGGCUCCGGCCUCGCGGGCGGCCCGGCAAGGCCUCCGUCCCGGGGCGUUUGUCCGGUCCGCGGCUGUAUACGGCCAGACCCACCGUUCCCCUCUCCAGCCGCAGGCAGCAGGUCCCAGUGUGGCUGUCUGGAAGCUGUACUUUCUCCUCAAGUUGUUUUCAGAUUAGCGAAGCAUUGCUUUUCAUUGCCUUUCGCCUCACCCUUGCAGCCCAGGGGUCGUACCUCCUAAUAAAAUCUUAGCACUUAAACUUGGCUUGAGGCUCUGCUUUCUAGAUAAUCCUUUAGCAUCCUUUGGGCUUUCAGUCUGUACUUGACUAAAAUUUUCACAGCCAUAAUAGCAAACAACAUUAGGAUUAUUUUUGACUCUGACGUACUCUGUUAGCCCUGAACUGCUUUACAAGGUAAUCGGUUGAAACCAAUACUAAAUACAUAAAUUUAUGUAUACUUGCUUUUGUGUUAGUAGAGAUAAAAUUUUUUUUCCACUUAAUGGUGUUUUCUCUCAAGAGUAAAUUCCUAGAGCACAGGCACUUGUAUGUUUUAAACAUUUGGAAGCUUAAAAAACCUGAGAUGCAAAUAAGUGCAAAAGGAAAAAACUGCUUUUCAAUCAUGAUCAUAAAGCUGUCAGCUGGGAAAGGUGGUCUAAUUAUAUGUUUUUUCAGUUCAUUCAUAAAACUAUGUUCUAUCUUUCCUAAAACCUAAUUAUUAGGGAAGGAUAUGUUAAACCCAUUUAUAGCAACGUCUUCUGGUCCAGAAUGCAGUGCAAGACAGUUUUUUUCUUUGCUACUUUAAAUAUGGAAGACUUGAGUAAGUUUGUAUUUUUAAUGAUAACAGCCACUGGCUUUGUGGCCUCAUGUUAACUGUAGGUUUGUCAGCCCUUUCUCUUCCCUCCCACUUGGCUUGCUAACCAUCUGUAACUUGAGCAACAGUAAUUUGAGAUGAGACUGGCCAGGGUCAUAUGUUAAAUAGGACAUUUCCACUUUCUUGACCACAAAAUCCUCCCUUUCCUGGCCACUUAAACACUGUUACAUAAUUCUACAAACAUGUGGAUCUGAUGAUAAUCUACAUAUGUUGGCAAAGGUCACACCUGCAAAUCUACCUUACUAUCAGCAAUUUUUUUUUUUUACUAAAGACAUUUUUAUUGUGUAUAAUCCGGUGUUUCAUAGCAUGUAAAAAUUAUUUUUAAAAACAUGUUCUCUCUUAUCUGCAUCAUUGAUUUUUGCAGGGAAAACUUUGUCAUCCUAUCAAAUGAGCAUUUUUUCAUCUUUGCCUUUGAACAAUGUUUUGUCUAGGGUUAAUUUCAAUCACAAGCAAUCAUGAAGCCAGGCUGUGUUCAAAAUGUAUUUAAGUGCAUUUUCACAUAAAGAAAAAGCAUUUUGAAAUAUCUUGACUUAUAGACGUGAUAUUAGAGGGCAUCCCAUUAGGCAAAUGUGAGACUUUCCUUUAACUCCUAGCCCUUGAUUCUUUUCAAGUACAUGAAGGCAGAUAACAUUCUAGCAAAUGUAUAGGUUUUAUAGAUCUUGGCCCUCUCAGAAUAGGUCAUAAGCUUACUGCACUUGUCACUAAACAUUUUUAGAAUUCUUAGAGUUCUAUAAGACACUGAAUCACAUUCUUUUAAAGGACAUCAUCAGGAAUAGCAAAUCUUUCUCUUUUGAGAGUGUAUUUAAUUUUUAGAAAUACCCCACAGUCAUUUGAAACCAGACCAAGUUUAGGAACAUUGAUUAGCAGAACAAUGAAUGUGAAAUAAUAAAAAUAAAUGAAGUAAUACUUCUUUAAAAAUU